CGGUUUCUUAAGUCUGAUGUGAAAGCCCCCGGCUCAACCGGGGAGGGUCAUUGGAAACUGGGGAACUUGAGUGCAGAAGAGGAGAGUGGAAUUCCACGUGUAGCGGUGAAAUGCGUAGAGAUGUGGAGGAACACCAGUGGCGAAGGCGACUCUCUGGUCUGUAACUGACGCUGAGGCGCGAAAGCGUGGGGAGCGAACAGGAUUAGAUACCCUGGUAGUCCACGCCGUAAACGAUGAGUGCUAAGUGUUAGAGGGUUUCCGCCCUUUAGUGCUGCAGCAAACGCAUUAAGCACUCCGCCUGGGGAGUACGGUCGCAAGACUGAAACUCAAAGGAAUUGACGGGGGCCCGCACAAGCGGUGGAGCAUGUGGUUUAAUUCGAAGCAACGCGAAGAACCUUACCAGGUCUUGACAUCCUCUGACAACCCUAGAGAUAGGGCUUCCCCUUCG
rnacentral:rRNA from 1 species